rnacentral:rRNA from 1 species
GUCCUACGGGAGGCAGCAGUGAGGAAUAUUGGUCAAUGGGAGAGAUCCUGAACCAGCCAAGCCGCGUGAGGGAAGACGGCCCUAUGGGUUGUAAACCUCUUUUGUCGGAGAACAAAACCCGGGACGUGUCCCGGACUGCGUGUAUCCGAAGAAAAAGCAUCGGCUAACUCCGUGCCAGCAGCCGCGGUAAUACGUAGGGGGCUAGCGUUAUCCGGAAUUACUGGGCGUAAAGGGUGCGUAGGUGGUUUCUUAAGUCAGAGGUGAAAGGCUACGGCUCAACCGUAGUAAGCCUUUGAAACUGGGGA